UACGUAGGGGGCAAGCGUUGUCCGGAUUCAUUGGGCGUAAAGAGCGUGUAGGCGGCCAGGUAGGUCGGUUGUGAAAACUGGAGGCUCAACCUUCAGAGGUCGACCGAAACCAUCUGGCUAGAGUCCGGGAGAGGAGAGUGGAAUUCCUGGUGUAGCGGUGAAAUGACGCAGAUAUCAGGAAGAACACCCGUGGCGAAAGCGGCUCUCUGGAACGGUACUGACGCUGAGACGCGAAGCGUGGGGAGCGAACAGG
rnacentral:rRNA from 1 species